rnacentral:rRNA from 1 species
UAUAUUUGAGAGUUUGAUCCUGGCUCAGGAUGAACGCUGGCGGCGUGCCUAACACAUGCAAGUCGAGCGAACCCUUCGGGGUGAGCGGCGGACGGGUGAGUAACGCGUGGGUAACCUGCCCUGUACACACGGAUAACAUACCGAAAGGUAUGCUAAUACGGGAUAACAUAUGAGAGUCGCAUGGCUUUUGUAUCAAAGCUCCGGCGGUACAGGAUGGACCCGCGUCUGAUUAGCUAGUUGGUAAGGUAACGGCUUACCAAGGCAACGAUCAGUAGCCGACCUGAGAGGGUGAUCGGCCACAUUGGAACUGAGACACGGUCCAAACUCCUACGGGAGGCAGCAGUGGGGAAUAUUGCACAAUGGGCGAAAGCCUGAUGCAGCAACGCCGCGUGAGCGAUGAAGGCCUUCGGGUCGUAAAGCUCUGUCCUCAAGGAAGAUAAUGACGGUACUUGAGGAGGAAGCCCCGGCUAACUACGUUCCAGCAGCCGCGGUAAUACGUAGGGGGCUAGCGUUAUCCGGAAUUACUGGGCGUAAAGGGUGCGUAGGCGGUCUUUCAAGCCAGAAGUGAAAGGCUACGGCUCAACCGUAGUAAGCUUUUGGAACUGUAGGACUUGAGUGCAGGAGAGGAGAGUGGAAUUCCUAGUGUAGCGGUGAAAUGCGUAGAUAUUAGGAGGAACACCAGUAGCGAAGGCGGCUCUCUGGACUGUAACUGACGCUGAGGCACGAAAGCGUGGGGAGCAAACAGGAUUAGAUACCCUGGUAGUCCACGCCGUAAACG